GACGAACGCUGGCGGCGUGCCUAAUACAUGCAAGUCGAGCGGACGGAUGGGAGCUUGCUCCCAGACCGUCAGCAGCGGACGGGUGAGUAACACGUGGGCAACCUGCCUGUAAGACUGGGAUAACUCCGGGAAACCGGGGCUAAUACCGGAUAACUCUUUCCCUCACAUGAGGGAAAGCUGAAAGAUGGCAUCUCGCUAUCACUUACAGAUGGGCCCGCGGCGCAUUAGCUAGUUGGUGAGGUAACGGCUCACCAAGGCGACGAUGCGUAGCCGACCUGAGAGGGUGAUCGGCCACACUGGGACUGAGACACGGCCCAGACUCCUACGGGAGGCAGCAGUAGGGAAUCUUCCGCAAUGGACGAAAGUCUGACGGAGCAACGCCGCGUGAGUGAUGAAGGUUUUCGGAUCGUAAAACUCUGUUGUCAGGGAAGAACAAGUACCGGAGUAACUGCCGGUACCUUGAGGGUACCUGACCAGAAAGCCACGGCUAACUACGUG
rnacentral:rRNA from 1 species